rnacentral:rRNA from 1 species
UGCAGUCGAACGGUGAACACGGAGCUUGCUCUGUGGGAUCAGUGGCGAACGGGUGAGUAACACGUGAGCAACCUGCCCCUGACUCUGGGAUAAGCGCUGGAAACGGCGUCUAAUACUGGAUAUGUGACGUGACCGCAUGGUCUGCGUCUGGAAAGAAUUUCGGUUGGGGAUGGGCUCGCGGCCUAUCAGCUUGUUGGUGAGGUAAUGGCUCACCAAGGCGUCGACGGGUAGCCGGCCUGAGAGGGUGACCGGCCACACUGGGACUGAGACACGGCCCAGACUCCUACGGGAGGCAGCAGUGGGGAAUAUUGCACAAUGGGCGCAAGCCUGAUGCAGCAACGCCGCGUGAGGGACGACGGCCUUCGGGUUGUAAACCUCUUUUAGCAGGGAAGAAGCGAAAGUGACGGUACCUGCAGAAAAAGCGCCGGCUAACUACGUGCCAGCAGCCGCGGUAAUACGUAGGGCGCAAGCGUUAUCCGGAAUUAUUGGGCGUAAAGAGCUCGUAGGCGGUUUGUCGCGUCUGCUGUGAAAUCCGGAGGCUCAACCUCCGGCCUGCAGUGGGUACGGGCAGACUAGAGUGCGGUAGGGGAGAUUGGAAUUCCUGGUGUAGCGGUGGAAUGCGCAGAUAUCAGGAGGAACACCGAUGGCGAAGGCAGAUCUCUGGGCCGUAACUGACGCUGAGGAGCGAAAGGGUGGGGAGCAAACAGGCUUAGAUACCCUGGUAGUCCACCCCGUAAACGUUGGGAACUAGUUGUGGGGUCCAUUCCACGGAUUCCGUGACG